rnacentral:rRNA from 1 species
CAGUAGCCACGGUAAUACGUAGGUGGCAAGCGUUGUCCGGAAUUAUUGGGCGUAAAGGGCUCGCAGGCGGUUUCUUAAGUCUGAUGUGAAAGCCCCCGGCUCAACCGGGGAGGGUCAUUGGAAACUGGGAAACUUGAGUGCAGAAGAGGAGAGUGGAAUUCCACGUGUAGCGGUGAAAUGCGUAGAGAUGUGGAGGAACACCAGUGGCGAAGGCGACUCUCUGGCCUGUAACUGACGCUGAGGAGCGAAAGCGUGGGGAGCGAACAGGAUUAGAUACCCGGGUAGUCCCUGUCUCUUAUAC